AACGAACGCUGGCGGCAGGCCUAACACAUGCAAGUCGAACGCCCGUAGCAAUACGGCAGUGGCAGACGGGUGAGUAACGCGUGGGAACGUGCCCUUUGGUUCGGAAUAACCCGAGGAAACUUGGGCUAAUACCGAAUGCGCCCCCGAGCAAUUGGGGGGAAAGAUUCAUCGCCGAAGGAUCGGCCCGCGUCUGAUUAGCUGGUUGGUGGGGUAAUGGCCCACCAAGGCGACGAUCAGUAGCUGGUCUGAGAGGAUGACCAGCCACACCGGGACUGAGACACGGCCCGGACUCCUACGGGAGGCAGCAGGGGGGAAUAUUGGACAAUGGGGGAAACCCUGAUCCAGCAUGCCGCGUGAGUGAUGAAGGCUCUUGGGUUGUAAAGCUCUUUCGGCGGGGAGGAUAAUGACGGUACCCGCAGAAGAAGCCCCGGCUAACUUCGUGCCAGCCGCCGCGGUAA
rnacentral:rRNA from 1 species